rnacentral:rRNA from 1 species
ACGAACGCUGGCGGCAGGCCUAACCCCUGCAAGUCGAGCGCGCCCUUCGGGGUGAGCGGCGGACGGGUGAGUAACGCGUGGGAACGUGCCCUUUUCUACGGAAUAGCCUCGGGAAACUGAGAGUAAUACCGUAUACGCCCUUUGGGGGAAAGAUUUAUCGGAAAAGGAUCGGCCCGCGUUGGAUUAGGUAGUUGGUGGGGUAAUGGCCUACCAAGCCGACGAUCCAUAGCUGGUUUGAGAGGAUGAUCAGCCACACUGGGACUGAGACACGGCCCAGACUCCUACGGGAGGCAGCAGUGGGGAAUCUUAGACAAUGGGGGCAACCCUGAUCUAGCCAUGCCGCGUGAGUGAUGAAGGCCUUAGGGUUGUAAAGCUCUUUCAGCUGGGAAGAUAAUGACGGUACCAGCAGAAGAAGCCCCGGCUAACUCCGUG